rnacentral:lncRNA from 1 species
UAAAAAUAAAAAUUAUAUUAGUAAAUAAUCUUAAUUACGAUAAAAACGAUAAAAAAAUAAAAGAAUAAUGAAAUAGAAAAACAAACCAUCGAUGAUCAUCAUGUGGUUUAGAAAAAUAAAAAGUAGAAAAUAAUUUUAACAGUAAAAAUUGGGACUUUGUAAUCCUCGGUGAGAGAGUUUAAUCAAAUAAUUUUUACAAGGAAAAAAAAACAACCAUCAGAAAUCAUCAUAUGACUUGGGUAAAAUAAAAGAACAAGCGAGAGAGAAAAAAAUUAUUUAAAAGAAAAAUUAAAACUAUAAAAAAGGUUUGGGACUCUGCAAAAAAACCUCGGUGUGAAAUUUUCUCUAAUUAUGUCCAAUUGUUG